rnacentral:rRNA from 1 species
GACAGAGGGUGCAAACGUUGUUCGGAAUUACUGGGCGUAAAGCGCGUGUAGGCGGCCAUGCAAGUCGGAUGUGGAAGCCCUCGGCUCAACCGGGGAAGUGCACUCGAAACUGCAAGGCUAGAGUCUCGGAGAGGAUCGUGGAAUUCUCGGUGUAGAGGUGAAAUUCGUAGAUAUCGAGAGGAACACCGGUGGCGAAGGCGGCGAUCUGGACGAUGACUGACGCUGAGACGCGAAAGCGUGGGGAGCAAACAGG